rnacentral:lncRNA from 1 species
GUUGUCUAGUGUAGUGCACUUCAGAAAAUCAUAUAGUGAUCCAUUUUCAUGAUAAUCUGUAAUCAAGUAAAGCUGUGUCCAGGAUCCAGUGCCUUUAAUAUCUGCAGCUAUAAAACCAAGGAUGUUUUCAUGACGCAUUAAAACAGUUUGGUAAAUCUCUGUUUCUCGGAACCAGCUGGCUUCUUCUGUGGUGAAAAACACUUUGACUGCAACUUUUUCACCUCUCCAUUUGCCCAUCCACACUUCACCAUAUCGUCCCUUUCCAACUUGCCUCACCAUCUGAAUUUGUUUGGCAAUCGUGCGCUGAACCAGCAAUGGUAGCCCUGAGCCACUGCCAGAACUUUGCGACUGGUCAAU